rnacentral:rRNA from 1 species
UGGUACAACGAGUUGCGAGACCGCGAGGUCAAGCUAAUCUCUUAAAGCCAUUCUCAGUUCGGACUGUAGGCUGCAACUCGCCUACACGAAGUCGGAAUCGCUAGUAAUCGCGGAUCAGCACGCCGCGGUGAAUACGUUCCCGGGCCUUGUACACACCGCCCGUCACACCAUGAGAGUUUGUAACACCCGAAGCCGGUGGCGUAACCCUUUUAGGGAGCGAGCCGUCUAAGGUGGGACAAAUGAUUAGGGUGAAGUCGUAACAAGGUAGCCGUAGGAGAACCUGCGGCUGGAUCACCUCCUUUCUAAGGAA